AACAGAAUUGCAAAUACAUCAACCAAAAUUCUUUAAUAUGUUGAUUACCUUACAAGGUAGAUGAUAGGAGGCAUCCGGGUUUAUUGAUUUUCUCAACAAAAUAUAAACUUGUCCAGAAGUUUCGAAUCCAAAAGAUACAAGUUCUUGGAUAGGUAAUGUGUGUCAGAACGAGAGAUCUAAGAAGUGGGUUGAAAGCGUUCUGCUACUCAUAAUUGAUUGAAUACAGACGAAAAAAGGUUCUUUUUCAACAGCGGUGGCAGUAGGGUAGGGACAGUCACAGGGUUGCCACCACCUUGACCUUCUGCCAGAUAUUGAUUGAGUGGGAAUCAUUUUUUCUAGCACUUUUUCUUCUUCUAUCUUCUUUCCGUUCCCACUUGCCGCCUCUCACCUUUAUACUUCACCCCAAGACUUACCAGGAAACUACCAUUAACUCCCUGUCCCUCUCUCUCUUUUAUGCUUCAAAGCUUUUCUUCUUCUUCUUUGUUUUUUUUUGGGGUUCCUGCUUCCGGGUUCUCGUUUCUUUCCCACUUUUUGUCAAAAAAAUGGGAAUUGGAGAGGAGAAGCCAGUGUCUGAGGACUCUCAUGAGGCUGCUGCUGCAGCAACCGAAAAUGUAACUGUUAGUCCAGUUUACAAGGUUGAAGAUUCAAUGGGAAUAAUUAAAGAAAAUAGUCAUUCUCAAAAUUGGAAGCAAAGAAACCUCUUUUUAGAAAUACCCUCAAGAACACUCGAAGACUCUUCACAAGAAUCUGUCAUAUUAAGGAUGCCCCCAACACCUAGUACCACUCCAACUCCCAAGAGGGUAAAUUUCAACUUGAAUCAUGCGGAUGCAAGAACAAGUGGUUCCCCUAGCCCUUCCUUAUCCAGAGCCAAAUCGUCCAUAAAAGGUCUCUUACCAAAACUAAGUUUCAAGUAUCGAAGUUCUAACUCAGAUUUUGAGAAGGCUGCCAACCUAGCUCCAGAAGCUUCAAAUAUGGCACCACGGGAGAAGCCUUCCAUCUCAAGGUCAUUGUCACUAACAAAGGUUUUUACUCCCAGGAUAAAGAAAACGUCAUCGCUGCCUGCAACUCCAAUCAUGCAUACAAACCUGGAAUCCACAUGCAGUGGAAAUGUUGUUGAUUCUCUAAAUUCAAGUAGAAAAGAGACCCAGAAGCAGAUAUAUCGUUCACUUUCAGUUCCUGUCAAUAACAAAGAAGGGAGCAUAAGGAGAAUGGAUUCAUUUUUUCGAGUAAUUCUUGCAACUCCUCAAGUAAAGGAAGGAGAGGUGGUGUCAGAUAUAUCUCAGAUAGAAGCAGAAAACAAUAGUGAGGCUGAUGGCGAAGACAUACCUGAAGAAGAAGCCGUUUGUAGAAUUUGUAUGGUUGAACUGUGUGAAGGGGGUGAAACCCUCAAGAUGGAAUGCAGCUGCAAAGGAGAACUUGCUCUGUCACACAAAGAAUGUGCCAUAAAAUGGUUUACCAUUAAAGGUAACAAGACAUGUGAUGUGUGCAAGCAAGAGGUUCGGAACCUACCUGUCACUCUCUUACGAAUUCAAAGCAUGAGAACUCGAAAUAGUGGAGCAGACGUAGGCCAGGUGGCAGAUCUCAAUGAAUACAGGGCUUGGCAGGAAGUUCCUGUGCUUGUAAUUGUCAGCAUGCUUGCCUAUUUUUGUUUUCUCGAGCAGCUUCUGGUCACAAACAUGGGUAUUGGUGCAAUUGUAAUAUCCCUUCCAUUUUCUUGUGUAUUGGGUCUCCUCUCAUCCAUGGCCUCAUCAACAAUGGUAAAAAGAAGGUUUGUCUGGGUCUACGCAUCAAUACAAUUCGCCCUGGUUAUUCUAUUUGCUCACAUAUUUUAUUCUUUGGUUCAGGUGCAAGCAGUUCUGUCAAUUCUCCUUGCAACAUUUACCAGCUUUGGAGUUGCCAUGAGUGGGAGUUCUAUUCUUGUUGAGUUCUUGAGAUGGAGAAGAAGAUGGCAAGUUCAGUCACAGCAGCAACAUCAUGGUUUUCAAGUGUUGGGCAGACCAGGCCAACUCCCAUAUUCACCACGGAGGGUUUCUCGUGAUCGCCACCAGGCGGAUUUAGAAAAUUGAGAAACUUUCACUGGGAGUUAAACCAUCGAUUAUUUAGUAUAGCUAAACAUAAAAAGGAUCAACAGUAGUGGACCGCACCAGGCUUGGAAUGUACAAGAUUCUCAGACCUGGAAGGUAAGUAUCUGAUGAGUAGAGCUUACCUUUCAUAACUUGAAUGCCCUAGUCAAAGGAGAAUAAAAUAGAAGUGGGUAUUUUUGGCCAUGAAAACAAUGAGGGUACAGUCUAGACGUUAAUUCCUUGAUUGAAGAGUUAUACAGGUGCCUUAUUUGCAUACUAUGAUGAAGCUUUAAAUGAACUUAAAACCAGCUAAAACUAUAAACUAAAACGAUACAAUUAUCACAAUAUUCGCCUGAUUAGUGUGUAAAUAGUGUUAUUGUAGACUUGAACCAUAAUUAGUAGCUUAACCAAUGGAAAUGCUCUACUUGCCUUCAUUAGGCUCAAAA